rfam:Alternaria alternata strain SRC1lrK2f unplaced genomic scaffold CC77scaffold_34, whole genome shotgun sequence.
GGGCUUGUGGUUUAGUGGUAUAAUACUCCCUUAGCAUGGGAGUGGUCCAGGGUUCGAUUCCCUGCAAGUCCA